GGAGCAGUACGUGGCCGAAUGGUUACGCUGUCCGCUUUGUAAGCGGAUGAUUCUGGGUUCGAUUCCCAUCUGCUCCA
rnacentral:tRNA from 1 species